rnacentral:rRNA from 1 species
AUUGAACGCUGGCGGCAUGCCUUACACAUGCAAGUCGAACGGCAGCACGGGUGCUUGCACCUGGUGGCGAGUGGCGAACGGGUGAGUAAUACAUCGGAACAUGUCCUGUAGUGGGGGAUAGCCCGGCGAAGGCCGGAUUAAUACCGCAUACGAUCUACGGAUGAAAGCGGGGGACCUUCGGGCCUCGCGCUAUAGGGUUGGCCGAUGGCUGAUUAGCUAGUUGGUGGGGUAAAGGCCUACCAAGGCGACGAUCAGUAGCUGGUCUGAGAGGACGACCAGCCACACUGGGACUGAGACACGGCCCAGACUCCUACGGGAGGCAGCAGUGGGGAAUUUUGGACAAUGGGCGAAAGCCUGAUCCAGCAAUGCCGCGUGUGUGAAGAAGGCCUUCGGGUUGUAAAGCACUUUUGUCCGGAAAGAAAUCCUUGGCCCUAAUACGGUCGGGGGAUGACGGUACCGGAAGAAUAAGCACCGGCUAACUACGUG